rnacentral:misc_RNA from 1 species
GAUGAAGAACGUAGCGAAAUGCGAUACUUGGUGUGAAUUGCAGAAUCCCGUGAACCAUCGAGUCUUUGAACGCAAGUUGCGCCUCAAGCCAUUAGGUUGAGGGCACGUCUGCCUGGGCGUCACAUAUCGUUGCCUGAUGCCAGUUUCCUCGUGAUGGGUGACUGUCCAGGGCGAAUGAUGGCUUCCCGUGAGCAUUGUUGCCUCAUGGUUGGUUGAAAAUUGAGUCCUUGGUAGGGAGCGCCGUGAUAGAUGGUGGUUGAGUGACGAACGAGACCCAAUCAUGUGAGACCCCUACCGAAUUUGGCCUUCAUAACCCACAUGCGUCUUUUGAACGCUCAUGACGAGACCUCAGGUCAGGCGGGGCUACCCGCUGAGUUUAAGCAUAUCAAUAAGCGGAGGA